rfam:Danio rerio chromosome 4, GRCz11 reference primary assembly.
GGCGCUGUGGCUUAGUAGAUCAAAGUGCCUGUCUAGUAAACAGGAGAUCCUGGGUUCGAAUCCCUGCAGUGCCU